rnacentral:siRNA from 1 species
UACCGUAUACAGGGCCGGUCCUAG